GGGGGAGGCGGAGUGGGGCGGCUCGCUGGUCCACCUCCGGCUGGAGCGGGGCUGUGCCCUGCUCUCGUGGACGCGCACCGCACACAGACCACACGCACACACAGGUGAAACUCCCUCGGAGAAUGUGCCGCAGCCAGAGAUAAAUCUGUCGUACAACCCAGAAGAAGUGAUCCCCCUGAAGUACUCCGGGAACCUUGCGUUUGAUGGUGAGGCUGGUGUCGUUGGAGACGAGGGGUUCAUCGACCUGCAGUGUGUGAAGGACGUGCGGCUGGGCGGGCUCCUGCUGGAGCCCCGCGAGCUGGCCGAGCAGCUGGCGGGGGCGCGGCGCCACGGCCUGGCCCCGAGCACCCCGCGGCCUCUCAUCACGCUGGUGUACGGC